UACGUAGGGUCCGAGCGUUGUCCGGAAUUAUUGGGCGUAAAGGGAUCGUAGGGUGUUUGUCACGUCGGGAGUGAAAACUCAGGGCUCAACCCUGAGCGUGCUUCCGAUACGGGCAGACUAGAGGUAUGCAGGGGAGAACGGAAUUCCUGGUGUAGCGGUGAAAUGCGCAGAUAUCAGGAGGAACACCGGUGGCGAAGGCGGUUCUCUGGGCAUUACCUGACGCUGAGGAGCGAAAGUGUGGGGAGCGAACAGG
rnacentral:rRNA from 1 species